CUGGCUCAGAACGAACGCUGGCGGCAAGCUUAACACAUGCAAGUCGAACGGACCGUAUACGCAGCUUGCUGCGUGUAUGGUUAGUGGCAGACGGGUGAGUAAUGCAUAGGAAUCUACCUAGUAGUAUGGGAUAGCCACUAGAAAUGGUGGGUAAUACUGUAUAAUCCCUGCGGGGGAAAGAUUUAUCGCUAUUAGAUGAGCCUAUGUCAGAUUAGCUAGUUGGUGGGGUAAUGGCCUACCAAGGCGGUGAUCUGUAGCUGGUCUGAGAGGAUGAUCAGCCACACUGGAACUGAGACACGGUCCAGACUCCUACGGGAGGCAGCAGUGGGGAAUAUUGGACAAUGGGCGCAAGCCUGAUCCAGCUAUGCCGCGUGAGUGAGGAAGGCCUUAGGGUUGUAAAACUCUUUCAGUAGGGAAGAUAAUGACGGUACCUACAGAAGAAGUCCCGG
rnacentral:rRNA from 1 species